GUACUCGUACCAACAUUAAUGCAUCAGAUUCCAUCAUAACUUUAAAAUUAAGCAUGUUCGAGCAAGAGUAGUACUAGGAUAGCUGACCCUUGGGAAGUCCUCGUGUUACACUU
rnacentral:rRNA from 1 species